UUUAUUUUCUGGUUCCAGUUGUGUCCUCUGUGCUCUUCAUUCAUUUAUUCAACCCAUAAACAUCUGUUAGGGAUCUACCAUGUGCCAUAUGUCAACAAGUUUUCUUCACAAAUAGGACAGAUCCUUGCUCUCAAAAAGAUAAGGAUAUAAUUUUAUGACUGAGGAAGUUGCUUAACCUGUAAGCUCAGUUUCCUCCCCUGGGAAUCACAAAUAGUAUUAGUAACUACUUCUUAGGAUUGUUGUGAGAAUUAAAUGUAUAAUGCAUACAAUGCACUUAAUAGAGAGCCUGGUACAGAGCUUUCAACAAAUGUUGGGUAUUAUUAUCGGUGUGCUUAAAGAAGGAUCCCAAUAAGCAAAUUAGCAGUUGCAGGGUUGAUAUGAAUGUCCUAAUAGAAGUAAUAAACCCAGAAUGCUACAGGAAUAUAGCAGAGGAACACCUAAUCUUGUCUGGAGAAGCUGGGGAAACAGCCUGCAGGAGGAGAUAUCUGAACUGAGUAUUGCAGGACUAAAUAGCGUAGGAAGAGCAUAGGUAAAGAGGUGAAAGAGAAUGAUACAUUUUGGGUACUUGCUACUUUUAGGAAAGCUACAAUAUGAAUGGCUUUGGAUGCCAUGCUAAUUAAAACUGUGUCAUGAAGAUAAUGGGAACUAUUGAAAGCAUGCUGCACAAUUAAACUUUCUGUAUUAGGGCAGCGAUGUAGGAGAGUAGAAGACUGAUUGAAGAAAAAAUUAGAAUUUGAUGACCAACUAAACGCAAACGUAGGAGGAAAGGAAGAGAAGGUGUCAAAAAUAAUUUCUAAAUGACUGAUUUGAAUGAGUGAAAGGCAAUGACAUAGGAAGAGUGGAGGGGGACAGAUAAGUUCAAUUAUAAGCAUGUUGGGUUUGAAGACAGGUAAGCACUUGAAUAUUCCGAUCAGGAGUUUAGAACUGGUCUAAGGUUGCAGAUUUGGGAUUUGUCAAUAGGUAUUAGUUGAAGCCAACAUGUAUAUACUAGAUAGAGGAAGGCCAACAUUUUGGGGUUAUCAAACAGCUCAUAAAAUCGAUUGAAAAUGAAUGUCCAGGCAGGUUAGUGGAAAAUCAAGAUACGGCACUAUCCCAGAAACUAAGAGAGGAUUGAGUUGAAAAGAAGUUAACAGUCACCAAUGCUAUGAGGAAAAGAAAAAAGUGUUCUUUGAAUUAAGCAACUAGGAAGUCAUUGGGCAAGAGUUAUUUCAGUAGUGAAGGGACCAGAAUGUAAAUUGCCAGAGAUUGUGGCGUUGAUAGGAAGUGAGUGCAGAAGACAUCGCCUGCAGGCCUCCUUUUCAAAAGUCGUGAAGAGCAGAGAGAUAGUGUAGAAACUCUAGAGGACAAAGAGCAAGUCUGGUUUAUUUAAAGAUCAUGGAGACUUGACCUCCUUUCUGUGUCCAUAGGAAAGAGCCUGGAGAAAGGGAGAGUUGAAGAUACAGAAUAGGGUGUAAAUAAAUAAUAAAAAAUUCUUAAGAAGGCAGAAGAGGUGACAUCCUGUGGAUUAAUGUGUCUUGAACAGGCGAAUGGAUACCUCUGCCACAAACCAGAGCUAUGUGAACACAGGUACAUCUAAAGUGGGGGAGCAGACUUGAAUUGUUUGAUGAUGUCUCUGAAGCCAGGUCAUCUUCUGAGAGUUGAUGAAGGUAGUGGGGGUGGAAUUGAAGUACAAAAACUUGAAAAUGUCCCUUGAAAGGAGAAGAAACCUAGAAAUAGUGGACAAUUGGCAUUGCCAUCUGGGGCUCCAUGCUUUGUCAAUGUCUCACUUUAGGAAUGGAGACACCCACAAUGAGCUAUGGGAUCUGACCAGCGCAGUGUUAAGAACAACAAUUAUUCAAGAACAAGAUGGCACUGAGAGAAUCCUAGAUGAUGGAGGUGAGGUUGAAGCACCCCUCUGUACCUGAAAGACCAAGACAGACUACAUUACAAGGUGAACCUGGGAUUUGCAUCCUGGCAGUCUGGACCCAGACCCAACAUGUUGACUACUUCAGGUCAUUACAUUUGAAGUUGAAGCAUGACAAUGGCAAGGAGCUGUAUUUCUCUACUUCUGUGUUGACAAAGUCAGUGUUAUACUUUUCACUGGCUAGUGAGAACUUUGAGGGACAAUCAACCUUUCUUUUGUAAAGCCUUUUUUGUGUGUGUGCAUAUGUGUUUAAUGUGCAAGGUUAAUUCCUUAGUGUGGCCUCAUUUUAAUGUCUGUAGCUGUUAACAAAAUUUGGAACAGUAUUUGAAAAUGAAGUGUUGCACAAUGUUAUUUUUAUCCUUAUUUUUCAUUUUAAUACAAUAAAUUGCAGAUAUAGUUCAGGGUUACCAUAAGUGUCCUUCUUCACAACUUUAAAGGGUCAAUGCCAAGUACAAUUUUUUCAAGAUUCAGAUUUUCUAGAUCAGCACAAUAUCAAUUUCCUAUUAUUCCUUUUGCGAAUAAUAAAUUGAGAACCUCAAUCACAAUAGUAUACUUUGAUUUCUCCCCUCCAGACACUUAUAUUAUUGUUGAGUAUGUUUUUCUUGUAUCCAUAUUAAACUUAUACAUGUACUAUUAGGACUACAUAUAUUAUAAACCCCCAACACAAUGUUAUUGUUUUAGUUUAAGUGGAAUUUUUAUACGUAGAGCUUUAUAUGAACCUAAGUAAAUGCUCAACAAAUAUUAAUGUUCUUUUUAGAGUGCGUAUAAUAUGUUUUGCCCCCCUGAAUAGUUUAAAAGUAGCAUUUUGUAUAAAACACAACAAAAUUAACUCCUCAAAAAAGAUACUCAGAAAGAUUCAAGUUCUGACACACAGUAUUUUAAUAAAUAUUAACUUAAUGUGUAUUAAAGAAUGUUUAAAAAUAUUAAGUUUCUGGGGGUGUCUGGGUGGCUCAGUU